CCAGUUUUGUUACUUGGAUAAAAGUCACAAGUCUGUGGUUCACCCUUCCUUCCCCGAGCCUCAGCUUGUCUGUCUCUGAAAUGGGAAUCAUCAGCCUGGAAAUGCUCCCAGUUUCUAAAACCAGAAUUGGUUGAAUCUGUGAAUGGUGAACCCAUGGAUAUGGAAAACUGAAAUUGGGACUUCAAUUCGUGAAUGCAGGAUACACAUUUCAGACUGUAGUACCUGCUAUGUCAGAAACUCUGAGCCAAUGCUGCUACAAAAUCUGCCAGCUGUGGACCUCUCCUCAAGUUAGAACCCUCUGAUUCCCUCCCUGCAGCACCCCUCAUGCCCAGAGAUGCUACAGACCUGGCAGGGGGUCUCCCAGGCCUAGUAUCACAGGAUGCUGUGUCCAUGGUAGCAGACAGUUCAUGUACCAAGUGUAUUCAUGGAUAAGCUGGAAGGAAAACAGCCAAGCUCCUUGCGACCUGACCUUCCUGGGGGGCUCGGAAGAGCCUUCUUCCCCACCUUCCACCAGCAAGGAGCCCUGGGACUCAAGGAAUCAUAGUGAGAAGACAAACUGGAGGCUUAACCACACGACUCACCACGGCGGCUCUGCCGGGUUGAGAAAAGGCUGAGAAGGCUGGUCUCUGGCCCCAGUCAGGCUCUUGUCCACUCAAAGAAACUCUUUGAAGGUCUGUGUUGUAGACUGAAUCCUGUGCCUUCCCCCAACCCCUUCAUUUAUUGAAGCCUAAUCUCUGUUGUGAACAAAGCAUGAGACAGGGGCUUUAGGGAGGGCCCUAAGGAUGGGGUCCUAAUCUGAUAGGACUGUAUCUUUAUGGGACAAGAAAAGGCUCUCUCUUCAUACCACAAGUGCCCAGCAAGAAGGUGGCUAUCCUUCAACCAGUGAGAGCCCUCCCCAGACUGAUCUUAGUCUUCUAGCCUCCAGAUUAUAAGGAAAUAUGUUACUGAUGUGCCCUGGUUUGAGGCCUUUUAUCCUGACCGCCCAAGCAGACUGAGAUAGUC